rnacentral:rRNA from 1 species
CAGUCGCCGCGGGAAUACAGAGGGUGCAAGCGUUAAUCGGAAUUACUGUGCGUAAAGCGCGCGUAGGUGGUUUGUUAAGUUGGAUGUGAAAUCCCCGGGCUCAACCUGGGAACUGCAUCCAAAACUGGCAAGCUAGAGUAUGGUAGAGGGUGGUGGAAUUUCCUGUGUAGCGGUGAAAUGCGUAGAUAUAGGAAGGAACACCAGUGGCGAAGGCGACCACCUGGACUGAUACUGACACUGAGGUGCGAAAUCGUGGGGAGCAAACAGGAUUAGAUACCCCAGUAGUCCCUGUCUCUUAUAC